rnacentral:rRNA from 1 species
ACAAGCGGUGGAGCAUGUGGUUUUAAUUCGAAGCAACGCGCAGAACCUUACCAGCCCUUGACAUACCGGUCGCGGACACAGAGAUGUGUCUUUCAGUUCGGCUGGACCCGGAUACAGGUGCUGCAUGGCUGUCGUCAGCUCGUGUCGUGAGAUGUUGGGUUAAGUCCCGCAACGAGCGCAACCCUCGCCCUUAGUUGCCAGCAUUUAGUUGGGCACUCUAAGGGGACUGCCGGUGAUAAGCCGAGAGGAAGGUGGGGAUGACGUCAAGUCCUCAUGGCCCUUACGGGCUGGGCUACACACGUGCUACAAUGGUGGUGACAGUGGGCAGCGAGCACGCGAGUGUGAGCUAAUCUCCAAAAGCCAUCUCAGUUCGGAUUGCACUCUGCAACUCGAGUGCAUGAAGUUGGAAUCGCUAGUAAUCGCGGAUCAGCAUGCCGCGGUGAAUACGUUCCCAGGCCUU